ACUGCCAAGAAAGUCGUAGUGCGCGCCGUAUCAGUGAAAAAGUAAAAAGUAAUUUAUUAAAACUAUUAUUUGCAUGUGAUUCAUAUAAAGUUAGGGGGUGUUCUUCUUCAUUAGAUAGUGAAAGUGCAGUUAAAUUAUCCUAUCCACGCCUUAUAGUUUUGCCAUUCGGAAAAAAAACCCAAGCCACCUUCAAUAGGUGAAAUAGAAAUAAGAAGAAAAGGCCCGUGUCUGCUUCCGGGCCUUUUCUUUUCUUUUGUGGCUUCGGGACUGGCCCCGAAGUUAUUUCUACUCCGCAGUGACAUCGGUAAGCCUUUCUAAGGACCAUAGAGAAGCUCGU